UAAUACGAACCGUACAAACGUUAUUCGGAAUCACUGGGCUUAAAGGGUGCGUAGGCGGCCAUGUAAGUGAGGUGUGAAAUCCCUCGGCUCAACCGAGGAACUGCGCUUCAUACUGCAUGGCUUGAGGGAGACAGGGGUAAGCGGAACUGAUGGUGGAGCGGUGAAAUGCGUUGAUAUCAUCAGGAACACCGGUGGCGAAAGCGGCUUACUGGGUCUCUUCUGACGCUGAGGUACGAAAGCUAGGGUAGCGAACGGGAUUAGAUACCCCGGUAGUCCUAGCUGUAAACGAUGAGCACUUGGUUGGGGAUCCUCCCAUAGGUUCUCGACCGUAGCGAAAGUGUUAAGUGCUCCGCCUGGGGAGUAUGGUCGCAAGGCUG
rnacentral:rRNA from 1 species